UCCGGGGGGUGCAAUCGUUAUUCGGAAUCAUUGGGCGUAAAGGGCGCGUAGGCGGCCCCUUAAGUCAGAUGUGAAAGCCCUCAGCUUAACUGAGGAAGUGCAUUUGAAGCUAAGGGGCUUGAGUAUGGGAGAGGGAAGCGGAAUUCCUGGUGUAGCGGUGAAAUGCGUAGAUAUCAGGAGGAACACCGGUGGCGAAGGCGGCUUCCUGGACCAAUACUGACGCUGAGGCGCGAAGGCGUGGGGAGCAAACAGG
rnacentral:rRNA from 1 species